rnacentral:rRNA from 1 species
AUGGCGGGCCACGGGCAGGACCGCAAGACGAUCGAUCUGGAGGAUGGGUGGGCGUUCAUGCAGCGGGGCAUCACCAAGCUCAUCAACAUCCUCGAGGGCAAGCCAGAGCCGCAGUUCAGCUCCGAGGACUACAUGAUGCUCUACACGACGAUAUACAACAUGUGCACGCAGAAACCCCCGCACGACUACUCGCAGCAGCUCUAUGACAAGUACCGCGAGGCCUUCGAGGAGUACAUCCGGGCCACGGUAUUGCCAUCAUUAAAAGAGAAGCAUGAUGAGUUUAUGCUCAGGGAGCUGGUACAAAGGUGGUCGAACCAUAAAGUUAUGGUUAGGUGGCUUUCACGCUUUUUCCAUUAUCUUGACCGGUACUUCAUCACACGGAGGUCGCUUACUGCACUUAGAGAUGUUGGGCUUAUUUGCUUCCGUGACCUGAUAUUUCAAGAGAUCAAAGGGAAGGUAAAAGAUGCGGUGAUAGCUCUGAUCGAUCAAGAGCGUGAAGGUGAACAAAUUGACAGGGCCUUGCUGAAGAACGUCUUGGAUAUAUUCGUUGAAAUUGGGUUAGGUAAUAUGGAUUGUUACGAGAAUGACUUCGAAGAUUUCUUGCUUAAGGAUACUACAGAUUACUACUCUGUCAAAGCUCAAAGCUGGAUUGUUGAGGAUUCUUGUCCUGAUUACAUGAUAAAGGCUGAAGAGUGCCUGAAAAGAGAGAAGGAGCGAGUUGGUCACUACUUGCAUAUUAACAGUGAGCCGAAGUUGCUGGAGAAAGUGCAAAAUGAGUUGCUUGCCAGUUAUGCAACACAACUUCUGGAGAAGGAGCAUUCUGGAUGUUUUGCAUUGCUUCGGGAUGACAAGGUUGAGGAUCUUUCAAGGAUGUACAGACUCUUCUCAAAAAUCACCCGCGGUCUGGAACCUAUUUCUAACAUGUUUAAAACGCAUGUUACGAACGAGGGUACAGCUUUGGUCAAGCAAGCAGAAGAUUCUGCUAAUAACAAGAAGCCAGAGAAGAAGGAGAUGGUUGGCAUGCAGGAACAGGUUUUUGUCUGGAAAAUCAUUGAGCUGCAUGACAAGUAUGUAGCAUAUGUGACAGAUUGUUUUCAGGGCCAUACACUCUUUCACAAGGCACUUAAAGAAGCCUUUGAGGUCUUCUGCAAUAAGGGUGUCUCUGGCAGUUCCAGUGCUGAAUUACUUGCCACAUUCUGUGACAACAUUUUGAAGAAAGGCUGCAGUGAGAAGCUCAGCGAUGAAGCCAUUGAGGAUGCUCUUGAGAAGGUGGUGCGGUUGCUCGCGUACAUUAGUGAUAAAGAUCUCUUUGCUGAGUUCUACAGGAAAAAACUUGCAAGGAGAUUGCUUUUUGACAAGAGCGCCAAUGAUGAACAUGAAAGAAGCAUCCUGACAAAGCUCAAGCAGCAGUGUGGCGGGCAGUUUACUUCAAAAAUGGAAGGCAUGGUUACUGACCUUACGGUUGCAAGAGAUCAUCAAACUAAGUUUGAAGAGUUUGUAGCUGAUCAUCCGGAGUCAAAUCCUGGGGUAGACUUGGCUGUCACUGUCUUGACAACAGGAUUCUGGCCAACCUACAAAACUUUUGACAUAAACCUUCCCUUCGAGAUGGUGAAAUGUGUGGAGGUUUCUAAGGAGUUCUACGCAACAAGAACAAAGCACAGGAAGCUUACCUGGAUAUACUCCUUGGGAACCUGCAAUAUCAGUGCAAAAUUUGAUGCUAAAACUAUAGAGCUCAUUGUUACAACAUAUCAGGCUGCGUUGCUGUUGUUGUUCAAUGGAUCUACUAAGCUUAGUUACUCUGAGAUUGUAACACAGCUGAACCUGUCAGAUGAUGAUGUUGUCCGUUUGCUCCAUUCUCUCUCUUGCGCGAAAUACAAGAUUCUUAGCAAAGAACCAGCUGGUAGAACUAUUUCGCCCAAUGAUUCUUUUGAGUUCAAUUCGAAAUUUACUGACAGGAUGAGGAGGAUCAAGAUACCCCUCCCUCCUGUUGAUGAGAAGAAAAAGGUUGUUGAGGAUGUUGACAAGGACCGGAGGUAUGCAAUUGAUGCAUCAAUUGUGCGGAUCAUGAAAAGUCGCAAAGUUAUGGCCCAUACGCAGCUAGUUGCAGAAUGUGUGGAGCAGCUCAGCCGCAUGUUCAAGCCUGACUUCAAAGCAAUCAAGAAGAGGAUUGAAGAUCUCAUCACGAGGGAUUACCUGGAGCGGGACAAGGACAACGCCAACACAUACAGAUAUCUGGCUUGA